UACAGAGGUCCCAAGCGUUGUUCGGAUUCACUGGGCGUAAAGGGUGCGUAGGUGGUAAGGCAAGUCAGGUGUGAAAUCUCCGGGCUCAACCCGGAAAUGGCAUUCGAAACUACCUUGCUAGAGGGUUUGAGGGGGGACUGGAAUACUUGGUGUAGCAGUGAAAUGCGUAGAUAUCAAGUGGAACACCAGUGGCGAAGGCGAGUCCCUGGACAAUACCUGACACUGAGGCACGAAAGCUAGGGGAGCAAACAGG
rnacentral:rRNA from 1 species